GUCAAUUCUGCCUGAUGCCCACACCUUCCAGGUCUUCACUGUGCUCCAGCUGCAGUAUCAGUGGAAUUGUGUGAUGUGGAUAUGAUGGAAGGAAAGGCAUUCAACACCAACAUCUUUCCGGAUGCCUGGCAGCACCAGUUACCACUGCAGUGGCUGGGCCUGGGUCCAGGAAGGGAGCUUUCUUCCCUUGGAAAGAAAAGAUGGCAUCUGCCACUGGGGAAGAGCCUUAUGCCCCAGCCCAAGGAAGGUGGAUUGGAAUUGGAAAGGUGGCUAGGUGAGAAUGGGGUCAGGGCAAAGGCAGAGGGACGACCUCAGAGGACAUUUCCUCACACGAGGGUUUGAGGACUGCAGGAUCCAAUCUUCUGCUGGUGUACAAAGUCCUUCUUGAUCUUCCCGUGGGCUACAGAUCCAGACCCACAUCCGGCUACCCGAACCUCGGGGGUUUCCUGACUGCUCGGCGUCCGUGCUGCCUUGCCCUUCCACAUGCAGCUCUCUCUGCUUUGCAUGCAUCACUGGUACCCCGAAAACAUACCCCACCUAGAUGAUAAAUUCACUGAAGGCAGAGACCACGUUUCAUCUUUGGGACCCCUUGUAACUAAGCAAGGGCUUGGCACAGGUUUGCUGAAUUAAGGACUGGAUUUCGUGGUGCCUUCUGUAAGCAUUAUCAGAACCUAGAGAUGAGGAAGAUCAUUACUGACUGGUGUGGUCUGGGAAGACUCCUAAAGGAAAGUCAGAGCUCCCAUUAUUCCUGUUUUGUAGAGGUGGGCCCAGAAAAAUGACAGAAGACACCCAAGCUCCAGCAGCAGAUUUGAUCCACAAUACCUAGUACAGUGCUGAACCACAAAACACAUUCGGGAAAUAUUUGUUGCCUGACCAAUUGAAGAACUGAAAAGAGGGCAGAAGGAAAUUCCAGAAGAGAAGUCACAGCAAGAGCAAAGGCAUGGAGGCUCACAGCCUUUGGCAGAAGGGACUUUGGUGGUUCUAUUCAUAAUCACCGAGGUCACACUGCCAGUUGGUAUCAGAGUUGCGCCUAGUGAUGAUAUCUUCCGUUUACUUUGUGCUUUUUGCAUUUUUAAAGUCCUUUUACAGACUUCUAUUUCUCAAAACCAGUUAUAGAGGGAUUACUUUCCCCCUUUUAAAGAUGAAGCAGUUGACAUUCAGAGUCAGCAUCAGCUAAAUGGUAAAGCUUCCAGUUAAAAGCUACCUUUCCUGUUCCUCUGCUGGUCCUGUUUCAACUUAUUGCAAGGAGAUAAAAAUUAGUGCUAGAACCAAGGACGGGUGUCUGCAUAGAUGCUGUUAUGGGACUCUGUUUACACGACAGAAAGUGAACCCUCAGGGACCCGACCACCUCAGGAGAAUGUCGUGAGCAUCAUUUCUUCAUCACUCAGCCCUGGAAAUCCCCAGGCUCUGCAGCCUGGGGGACCACUGAGCAUUCCUCAAGAAGUUCCGAUGGCAGCGCUCCUGGCAUGCUAUGAAAAACCUCAGGCACGUGUUUUCAGACAACCGUUAGCCGGCCACAGAAGUUCCCCAAGGUCCUCGGUAAACCUUCUUCAAAUCUGUUCUGACUUUGUGUGGGUGGCUAUGUUUCACCAACAGGGCGCUGAAAGCAGGAACUCCAGAGGGCUGAAU
rnacentral:lncRNA from 1 species